rnacentral:lncRNA from 1 species
CAGCUUGGAUCUGACGUUCCUGUGGCUGUGGCAUAGGCCGGUGGCUACAGCUCCACUUAGGCCUCUAGCCUGGGAAACUCCAUAUGGUGCAGGUGCAGCCGUAAAAAGACAAAAAGACAAAAAAAAGAAAAAGAAAAGAGAAAGAAAGAAAGGAAGAAAGAAAGAAAAGAAAGAAAGGAAGAAAGAAAAGAAAAGAAAAAUUUGAGGGAAUUCCCAUCAUGGCUCAGCAGUUAAUGAACCUAACUGGUAUCCAUGAGAUAGUGGGCUCAAUCCCUGUCCUUGCUCAGUGGGUUGAGGAGUCAGCAUUGCUGCUUGGAUCUGGUGUUGCUUAGUCUGUGGCCUAGGCUGAUGGCUGCAGCUCCGCUUUAACCCCUAGCCUGGGUACUUCUAUAUGCCAUGGGUAUGGCCCUAAAAAGGCAAAAAAGAAAAAAAAAUAAGAAAAAUUCGAAUAAAAGAUAAGGAGAUCUUAGACUAGGAUGGCGACAGGAAGCAUGGUGAGAAGUAGUCAGAUUCUGGAUCUUUUUUGAAGGGGGGAGUCCGCUAGAUUUCCUUGUCAGAUUGUUUGUGGCACAUGAAAAAAAAGAGCCAAAGAUAAUUCUAAAGUUUAUGACCUCAGCAACUAAAAUUAAGUAGUAACAGCAGCUCAGAUGGAAAAGUGGCAGGUGAAACAGAAUUGGUGUGUGCCUGUGUGUAUGGUGGUGGCAGGGUUUAUUUGCAGUUCAGCUUUAACAUAUUAAGUUUGACAUUUCAAUUCCCCUUUUUUCCCUUUUAUUUUUUUUUUUAUGGAAGGCAGAUUUAGCCAAACAAUCUCAAGACUGUUAAAUAGGCAAAGAAGUAGUGAAGAGGGUAUGGACAAUAGGCUCCUGUGAAUCUGGACUCCAGCACCAGCUUCUCCACUUACUUGCUGUUGGAACUUUUGGAAGACACCUUAAUCUAGUCCCUUUUAAUUAUUUAAAUGCCUUAAAGGAAAGAAAUCCAGUCUCUAACUGUGUAUUCUCUGGCCUCCUCUCGCUAGAAGGUAGGCUGCCUAAUAGGCUGUGCCUUGCUUACUAUUGUUUCUGUCUUGCCUACCACAUGAAUACCUUUCCUAAAACA